rnacentral:misc_RNA from 1 species
UUUCCGUAGGUGAACCUGCGGAAGGAUCAUUCAUAAUAAGUGUUUUAUGGCACUUUUUUAAAUCCAUAUCCACCUUGUGUGCAAUGUCAGGGUUGGUCUCUUUUGAUCAGCCCCAAACAUCAACUAUUAUCUCAACUCUUUGUCUGAAAAUUAUUAUGAAUAAAACAAUUCAAAAUACAACUUUCAACAACGGAUCUCUUGGCUCUC